rnacentral:rRNA from 1 species
CCCUUAGAUGUUCUGGGCCGCACGCGCGCUACACUGACGAUGGCAACGAGUUUUUCCUUCGCCGAAAGGUGUGGGUAAUCUUUUGAAACAUCGUCGUGCUGGGGAUAGAUCAUUGCAAUUUUUGAUCUUGAACGAGGAAUUCCUAGUAAGCGCGAGUCAUCAGCUCGCGUCGAUUACGUCCCUGCCCUUUGUACACACCGCCCGUCGCUACUACCGAUUGAAUGGUUUAGUGAGGACUCCUGAUUGGCGCCGCCGCCCCGGCAACGGAGCAGCGGACUGCCGAAAAGUUGUUCAAACUUGAUCAUUUAGAGGAAGUAAAAGUCGUAACA